GAUGAAGAACGUAGCGAAAUGCGAUACGUAAUGUGAAUUGCAGAAUUCAGUGAAUCAUCGAGUCUUUGAACGCACAUUGCGCCCCCUGGUAUUCCGGGGGGCAUGCCUGUCCGAGCCUCAUUGCUGCCCUCAAGCACGGCUUGUGUGUUGGGCCUCCGUCCUCCUCCCGGGGGACGGGCCCGAAAGGCAGCGGCGGCACCGCGUCCGGUCCUCGAGCGUAUGGGGCUUCGUCACCCGCUCUUGUAGGCCCGGCCGGCGCUUGCCGACACAUCAAUCUUUUUUCCAGGUUGACCUCGGAUCAGGUAGGGAUACCCGCUGAACUUAAGCAUAUCAAUAAGCGGAGGA
rnacentral:misc_RNA from 1 species